UACGGAGGGUGCGAGCGUUGUUCGGAAUCACUGGGCGUAAAGGGCGUGUAGGCGGUCCGCUAAGUCUGAUGUGAAAGCCCGGGGCUCACCCCCGGAAGUGCAUUGGAAACUGGCGGACUCGAGUCCCGGAGAGGAGAGUGGAAUUCCUGGUGUAGCGGUGAAAUGCGUAGAUAUCAGGAGGAACACCGGUGGCGAAGGCGGCUCUCUGGACGGUGACUGACGCUGAGGUGCGAAAGCGUGGGGAGCAAACAGG
rnacentral:rRNA from 1 species